rnacentral:rRNA from 1 species
GACGAACGCUGGCGGCGUGCUUAACACAUGCAAGUCGAACGGAAAGGCCCUGCUUUUGUGGGUUGCUCGAGUGGCGAACGGGUGAGUAACACGGGAGUAACCUGCCCUUGACUGUGUGAUAACUUCAGGAAACUGGGGCUAAUACCGGAUAGGAGCUCCUGCUGCAUGGUGGGGGUUGGAAAGUUUCGGCGGUUGGGGGUGGACUCGCGGCUUAUCAGCUUGUUGGUGGGGUAGUGGCUUACCAAGGCUUUGGCGGGUAGCCGGCCGGGGAGGGUGGCCGGCCACAUUGGGACUGAGAUACGGCCCAGACUCCUACGGGAGGCAGCGGUGGGGAAUAUUGCACAAUGGGCGGAAGCCUGAUGCAGAAACGCCGCGUGCGGGAUGACGGCCUUCGGGUUGUAAACCGCUUUCGCCUGUGACGAAGCGUGAGUGACGGUAAUGGGUAAAGAAGCACCGGCUAACUACGUG